rnacentral:rRNA from 1 species
GGAAUAUUGGGCAAUGGACGAAAGUCUGACCCAGCGACGCCGCGUGCGGGAUGAAGGCCUUCGGGUUGUAAACCGCUUUCAGCAGGGAAUAAGCGCAAGUGAAGGUACCUGCAGAAGAAGCACCGGCUAACUAUGUGCCAGCAGCCGCGGUAAUACAUAGGGUGCAAGCGUUGUCCGGAAUUAUUGGGCGUAAAGAGCUCGUAGGUGGUUUGUUACGUCGGUUGUGAAAUUCAGGGGCUCAACCCCUGACUUGCAGCCGAUACGGGCAAGCUAGAGUUUGGUAGGGGAGACUGGAAUUCCUGGUGUAGCGGUGGAAUGCGCAGAUAUCGGGAGGAACACCGAUGGCGAAGGCAGGUCUCUGGGCCAAUACUGACACUGAGGAGCGAAAGCGUGGGGAGCGAACAGGAUUAGAUACCCUGGUAGUCCACGCCGUAAACGGUGGGCGCUAGUUGUGCGAACCUUCCACGGUUUGUGCGACGCAGCUAACGCAUUAAGCGCCCCGCCUGGGGAGUACGAUCGCAAGAUUAAAACUCAAAGGAAUUGACGG